rnacentral:rRNA from 2 species
GAGUUUGAUCUUGGCUCAGAUUGAACGCUGGCGGCAUGCCUUACACAUGCAAGUCGAACGGCAGCACGGGAGCUUGCUCCUGGUGGCGAGUGGCGAACGGGUGAGUAAUGCAUCGGAACGUAUCCUGGAGUGGGGGAUAACGUAGCGAAAGUUACGCUAAUACCGCAUAUUCUGUGAGCAGGAAAGCGGGGGACCUUCGGGCCUCGCGCUCUUGGAGCGGCCGAUGUCGGAUUAGCUAGUUGGUGAGGUAAAGGCUCACCAAGGCGACGAUCCGUAGCAGGUCUGAGAGGAUGAUCUGCCACACUGGAACUGAGACACGGUCCAGACUCCUACGGGAGGCAGCAGUGGGGAAUUUUGGACAAUGGGGGCAACCCUGAUCCAGCCAUGCCGCGUGAGUGAAGAAGGCCUUCGGUU